GGCGAUGUUCUCUACACUGCACUAAAUGGAGAACAGCUCCACUGCUUCUUUUCUCCUGAGCACAUUGUCUGUGAACAAAUGUUUAGGUGAGUUUUCGGUGACAAUCAAGGUGUCCCUCCAGAGUGUCUGGGGUGCAAGAAGCAAUGACAGGAAAGCAAUCUUGCAGAAGGAAAGGAAAGCAAAUGGGAGAGUGGGAGGAACAAAGAGGCGGAAUAAAAAAGAUACACAGAGGAAUCAUAUAUUGAUCUAGAAUGUUUGGAAAUGUUUAUUUUGGUUGACAGAAGGCUACCCUUCAUCUCAUUCACGGUCAAACAAUUCUUAAAGAUGUCAUUUAACACCAAAACUAAACUGGGCAUAAGUUAAUUUGUUUCAUAUCAUGAUCAAAGUCUUAUGAUUUUAACUUCUAGUUAUUAUUGUGAAUCUCUAAGAAAAAAUCUGGUUCUAUUGAGUCUGGAUAGAUAGAUUUUACUACAUCCAUUGUAUACUAUGGACAAUUGUUUUAGAUGCCAUUUGCUGUCCCGAGUUGUCAUGUCCUACCCUGCCUCACUGGUUCCAAUUUAUUAUUUCAACAGAAAAGAGAAAACAUUUCAAUGAAAGAGGAAACAGGAAAUUCCAACAGAUCAGCAACAGUUGGAGUGCUAACCUGUCACUGGAAUGGAAAAAAGAAAAAAUGCUCUUGUUGACACAUCUUUUCCUUGUUUUUGACACAAAUUAGUGUCUCCCACUGAAGGAAGGUCAUGAGCAACAAGGCACCAGCACAUUGGAUCCAGAAUUGCUAAAAAACGCCACCUGGAACACAGCUGUGACUUGAUAAACACGUGAAAUAUUCUUUGGUGUGGUGAGGGGAAAACAGAUUUCUCAAGGGACACGCACCAUGGUGUAUGAGAGGACACUGGAGCCCAGCCAGCAUCUGACAUGCUGAAUUCAAAGUGCAGGUUGCCAGAAAGCUCUCCAGCCAUCAACUUGCCUACAUGUGAGAAGGCCUCAUUAUCAGAAACCUCUGUGGAAACUCAGCAUCUACCUUUGGCUGGUCUUGUUUCUUGUACUCCUAGAAUUUUCAGAAUGUUCUCCAAAGGGAUUGUUUUGCUUGCCGAUAAAAAGAGACACUUGGGAGCACCAUACUCUCUCCUAUUCCUCUGAAUAUCAUGUUUCCUUAUGACACCUGAAACUCUGAUGCCUUCUGGGUCCAUGAAAGCAGUGAGAUGAGCACAGGAAACCAUGCUGAGGAUGGUUGAGCAAAAAGGUGACAUUGAGCCACUGGAUUAACCUGCCCAGAAACAGGAUAUCUUCAGAUUUCUUGUUAAGUAAGAAAAUGUAAUUUCAUUGAUUCUAAGUUACACUUUCUUUUAUUAGUUCAACAUCUCUGAAAUCAGAACAUAUUUUGCCAUGGUAAUACCUUACCAUCACUGUUGGCCAGGGGCCAUCCUCACAUAGGUGUCAUUGCCUAUGCAUAUGUCAACUUGAUUGAUAUUCCCUGUGAUAUGACUGACAACUGCAGCCCCUUCACAGUUCAGUCAACAAACCAUUGAAGAGUAUUAGGGUAAGAAUACUGCUUUCUAUCUGAAAACUUUCCAUUGACAUCUUCUGAAAAGACAAAGAAAGUAUCAGCAUCUAAAUUUGCAUAAUAAUCAUCAGUGCUUAGAAGGAAAUCCAAGUGGCAAUAGUGGGUCAAUCUUUUAAGAAAUGUUACAUCACCAGUACUUUCGAUACUACAGAGGAUGAUAUUGGGAGGAAAAAGCAUCAAUAUUUAUGGCUCUGAAUUUUAAAAGUGAGUUUGAAGAUUCAGACUCUGAAAGUGAAGACAUUUUAUUGUGUGUGUGUGUUUGUGCGUGCGUGCAUGUGUGUAUGACUGUGUGUAUCAAAACGUAUUUUGAUUUAUGGUUGUGUAGACAUAUGUAUUUAUAAUAUGUAUGUGAUGUAUAAAAUAUACAUCUAAAUACAUUUUUCAUUUCUCUUGCAAUAGGUAUAAAAUAAAAUUUUAAGUUAUUAGCAUUGUGUCAGUUUAAUUUACAGGUUUUUUGUAGUACUUCAUAAAAUAAUGAUGUGUGUUACAACUGAUGUCUUACAUUUGGCAAAAGCAAGAAUAAAUUUCUUAAGGUUAAGUUGGAGUUUCUGUUUCUUGCAACCAAAAGCAUUCACCAUGAUAUAACUUAGUUUGUCUUAGUCCAUUUAUUUUUGUUAUAACAGAAUAUCUGAAACUGAGUAAUUUAUAAAGAAAAGAUGCUUAUUUGGCUCAUGAUUCUGGUGGCUGGAAAUUUCAAGAUUGGGCAGCUGCAUCUGGUGCAGUUGCCUCAUGCUGCUUCAACUCAUGACAGAAAGUAGAAGGUGAGUGGGUGUAUGCAAAAAGAUCA
rnacentral:lncRNA from 10 species